AUGUAUGAAACCGGCCAAUCUUUGAAAGAAAUUCUGGUUUCGAUUUCACGAUCGAUGGGCGCGGCCUCCAGCCGCUCGUCGUCCUCCUCUCGGCCGACCUCGCGCGCCACGGCCAAGACCCCCUCUCCGCCGGCCUCGUGCGCCGCCGUCAAGACGGAGUACUCCGAGGCGCGCAUCUUCACGAUGCCCGGCUACUCCAAGUUGGCCGGCCUGCCCCCCGGCUCCACGCUGACCCUGGAGACGUUCCAGUUCCGCGGCCAGGGCUGGCGCGUCGACGUGGACCCCGCGGGCAGCCUAGCUUGCGCGGACUCCCUCACCGUCAGCGUCACCGUCGUCGCCGACCACGGCUGGAACUACCCCGAGAACAUGGCGACCAAGAUCUCCAUAGACAUCCUGGACGAGAGCGGGGAGCGCGCCGCCUUCGACCGCUGUCACAAGGCUCGGCCUGACGGGUGCGGCGGCUUCGGCUUUCUCAGCGUCAGUAAGACGGAGCUGGAGGCGUCGUCGUGCAUCCGCGAUGACAGCCUCACCAUCAGGUGCACCAUGUCCGUCGACAUCCUGGAGCCCAAGGUCGACUUGGUGGCAGGGUCGACCCAGAGCACCGGAGCGUCGGCCAAGGGCGCGGUGCCGACGGUCACGACGGCUGCCAGCCUGCCGGUUGCGUCGUCAAGCUCCGCCCAGUCGUCGCCCACUCGUCAGCCGUCUUGUGGAUUUCGAUGGCGCACAGGAGGACGCCUCCGGCGUGGACGGCUUCGUGACGCGUUCGGGGUCCGCCGGUACAGACGUGUAGACAGCUCGCUCGACCACGACACCCUCACCGUCCCUCUCUCUGAAUCAGGCAGCCUGCUUUAUUGA
rnacentral:rRNA from 1 species